UUCGUCGUGGCCUACCUGUGGCACAGAGGGCGAUGAACGUCUGGACAUGUUUGCGUAUAAGAGUCAGUUUAUCCUCAGGCAGCGGCAGCCUCCUCACUAUGUGCUCGAUAAAGUCGUUCGGCGUCACUGCUGCCAGGUUCCACUUCAACUUCCCCAGCACCACCAGUUCCCAUUCCUGAAGUAGACGAGACGCACGGGCACAUUGUGAGACGACGGAUGGCGGGGACACAAAAACAGACGUAUGUGACAGACUGAGAAGACGCUCACACAAUUUGCAGUCGCUCGUGCUAAGUUGCCCCAGCAGAUCGAGAAAGUGCUGCACUUUUGUUUGUUUUCUCUUAAUUUUAGAGUCGCGAUUCCUUUGCAAAAGUCUUGUUAUUUCCUCAUUUGACUUCCGUCAUCUAUUGAAUUAACCCUCACUUGCCAUUCGAGCAGCCUUGUGAGCAAUUCCGCCCAGCGACAGGCGGCUGUGCAAACGUGCGACGUGACUACGAACAAAGAUCCGAGCAAUUCUGUAGCUCUACAUUGCUCUGUGUUCAAAUGAAAGUUUUAAAAUGUUUCACAAAAAGAUCUCCUUCUUUUCGUUUCCGUCACUGGUUAUUAUGUCGCUGUCACCAGCAGAGAAAGGGAUAACUGCAUGCCUGACACCGAGAAACACGAGCAACGUCGCCAGCUCAGGUGACCUCACAACUGCGUGCUCCCUCCCCGCUUGUCUGUCUGGCAUCUGGGACUUUCCUAAAGAGGCCCAGCAGAGGUUCCGCGAUGUGCGAGGCUAGCGGAAGGGAAGGAAGGCUUGCGCAUUGACAAGAAUCGGCAUUUCAUCUGCAUUCGAAUGCCGAACGCAAUGUAAAAAGACUCUUAAACGGAUUUCCUCCCACACAAACCAUUAAAAGUCAUUUGGAAAACCAAAUGACUCAAAUCCACCAUUGUCAAGUGCCGAACAGGCCUACAAUUCAUAUGUGUGUCAAGGCCUUGGACUCACGCGAGACAUUGAGCAGAGGAGACGCAUGCUGGUGUCCAUGUGAUGCGACAUGACACUAGGUGCGGUGUUCUCCCCUCUUUGGGUGUAUUGUUACUUUCACUUCCUAGUGCAGGAGGUGAUUAACUGAAGACUCGGUGACUAAUUUAGGAAAACAUUUCAGUGGUUUGGUUACGGACUACUGCCUUGUGACUGGAACCCUCGGAUGCUGCUCAUUUUCUCCCUCGAAGAGACCGCAUGGUCUCAGUCAUGAGAUAAUCCAACAUGGCUGCCACUGACCCUGUAAGAUUUUGGUUUUUUCCACUGACCUUUUCAGAAACGCGAUGCUCUACUUAUGACACACAAGCAAAAGGGGCUGUACCUCUGUCCCACAUGAUGACUUCCACUCAAUUCAAGGAUGAAAUGGUGAAGAUUAUUUCCACGGUGAAGAUUAUUUCCAUGCAUUUAAAAACUUUAUUCUACCAACGUGGCUGCACGAUAGCAUCUGUGACCAAAACACAAAAAAGAAAAAAGAAAAAAAAAAAAGAAAAAGAAAAAAGCUUGCAACACAGCAGAGCCGAAUGCUGAGUGGCAGCUCGGCCUCUACUUCCUUCUGCUGCCGCCUUCCUCUGGUCACACCUUCUUUCUAACAUUGCGGUUCAAUUUACAAGAAAUUCUUACCAAAGAUGAGGACCACAAAAAAACAAAAAAGAAGAAGAAGAAGAAGAAGCAGCAGCAGCAAUCACAUGCACUGAGCAGCUGAUCUGUUUCCUGUAUCUGCCUGACAGCCAAAAUGCUGCCAUAUACAGAAACACUGAGAGCAAGCAUCAGGAAACCGACAGCGGAGGGCCUCAAAAGCGACAAGUUGAUCGAGCGCACCUCUCUUACGUUCCGACCAUAUCGGCGCUAGAAUGAAAACGAGAUCAUCUGCGUUAUAAUAAUCCGCGGCCUCGGUCACAGCACGGGCGGGGAUUGACUGUCGUUUACCGAGGAAUGUUUAUGUAGCGCCGCUUCAUUAUCUGAUGUGAGACUGGGCCUAAGUAAUUGCUUUGCGCAGGUGAAGGCAGCCGCAGGGCCUUUGCGAGCAAGUGUCCUACGGGCGCAACGUGGACGUCAUCGCGCCGAAUAGAACCAGCGUGACAUUACGUCGCAUCGCGCGUGUGCAUCGCCGGUUAUUUCGGGAUGGAGGCUGAACUGUAAAAGGCAAACUUGGAUUUCUCUGUGUCUCUCUCCCACUCUUGACAGGAACAGAGUCAGAAGUUUGGCUGCCAUUCAAGACGACCUCGUUGCUCUGCGUGUGCAAAUAUUUGCCGCUAGAUGGCAAUGGAGACCAUUACACAGACUUAAAAGCCCGACCAGAGGGGGUUUGGUACAGUAAGCGUAAGAGCCCCCCUGUGGAACGAUUCACUUGUGUGUGGCUUUUGCUUUCAUUAAAGCACAGACUCGAGUGCACACCGGACUACAGUAUGUUUUUUUGUUUGGUUGGUUUUAUUUGAUGCAAAAUGCAGUAAAACCGAGAAAAACAAAUGGUAGAUCGAAACG